UUGAGCCGUGUACAGUGAAAGUUGUAUGCACGGUUCUGAGGGGAGGGAGGGGCUAUAUCUGAAACCCCCUGCUUUACCCGAC
rfam:Oscillatoriales cyanobacterium 'hensonii' Contig_232, whole genome shotgun sequence.